rnacentral:lncRNA from 1 species
AGACCACGCCCACCGAUGCCGGCAGCAGCUGGUGCAGCGGAGCUCAGAUCCUCUCUGUGGGGUCUGCACCGGCAAGGGCAGCUGCUCCCUGCCUUUCCUCAGGAGUCAGUGGAGCUCUGACUCUCUUCUAAUGUACUUUGCAUAUGAAGAGAAAGCUGGUUAUCCUGACUAGUAAAGAAGGGAUUAUUGAACCUGAAACUGUGAAGAGACACAAAAGCAACAAGAGGACAGAAACAAUUCAGGGCUUCAAUAAGCAGAGUACAAUCUAUUUAGUGACUGCAAUGUGGAAAUCUCUAAUGUCAGCAAGACUGUGUUGAGAGGAACACAUUUUCUUGUGAGUGAGCAUUCCUAGAGGAUGAGUAUCUUAGAGACUCAACGGCAUAUGUCUGCUAUGCAAGUAAUGAGUCCUCCAUCUAAUGGUGUACAAACUAUUCUGGAAGGAUCUGUUCAGGAUUUAUGAGGUGUUAGCAACCUACAGAGCAAGAACACUGAUACUUUUUGGUUACUCCAAAUUAUUAUUUAUAAAAUAUUAUUAUAACUUGGUGUUUGUUUUGCCAGGUAAGACUUCAGUCAGGGGCUCUGAGGUCGGUACUGUAUCCAGGGAAUUUAAAGUCCAGAUCUUAGUUUAAAAAAAAUGGCCUGUCAUCUUCACUCUAUUAUUGAAUUAGAGCCUGACAUCAUUAAUUUUAAUUUUACUGAAUAUAAAUAGCAACCCUAUAUUCUAUGCAUACUGUUUUGACUGUGGCAUUUAUUUAGAGAAGAAUGGAGACAAGAUGAUUCCAACUUAAAGGAAACUGGAAGUAUUCUGAGGAAACAAAUAGAGAAGGUAAGCCUUACUGGUUUCUCCUUUUGAUGGCAACCAUCAAAAGGAUGGUUAUAAGUCUCUUAUAAAUAGAAAGCUCUAUUUGAGUUAUUCCAUUAUGGUAAUCUUAUCAGCAAACAUAAGACAUCAUAGGAAAGGCAGGUUAGGGUCCAGGUGGGGAGGUUUUACCUGCUUAUAGGCAUCAUUUCCUUCAGCUCUGAUGGGGCAUCCCCUUCAUCGCUUGGGCUUAUUGCAAGAUGGCUGGGUCAUUUCUUUUUGAAGUUAGGAAUAAGAUGAAAGCA